GGGAGAACCAUCAUCCCUCCUGAUCACAGACGACUAUGGCCUGUGCUAACUUUGACAUGGACAUUCACGGAGAGGAUGAACAGGGCAGGCCGUUCAGGGGAGAGCCAGUGAUCCAAUACUACCAGGCCUCAGAGCUCAUGCCAGAGAUCAAGGGCCCGCUGCACGACUUGCUGCAGAAACAACCUGCUGUGUUGGGGUCUCUGCAGAUUGUGAGCGGCAUCCUGAGUGUGGGUGUGGGCAUUCUCUUCGCUGUGACCCAGGAGAUGAAAGAGUCUCUCUUUACCCUCUUCAGAGUUUCCCACCUGACCGGAGCGAUGUUCUUCAUCGCUGGAGUCGUUUCCAACCUGCUGUUUAAAUAUCCCACAUUACUGCCCGUCUCCUUUGGGAUUAACUGCGGCUGUAUUGCUGUCGCUGCGGUCGCAGCGUGUCUGAUAGGCGUCGACCUGUCAAAGUGGAGCAAAGACAACGAACACCACCUGAAGAUGGAGGUGCUGGAGCUGUGCAUCUUGGUACUUGAGGUCCUUCUGUCGUCGGUGCUCUGCUUCUGGUUCUUUAAAGAAAAGCGGGCCAAAUCAUCGUGA
rnacentral:lncRNA from 1 species